CCGAACGGCAGAAGUGGUGAUGGGCGUGUAUUUUCCGCCGGGCUCUUGGCCGGCGUACUUGUGCGCGUCCGUAGGUCAGCGUGGGUUGGGGCGUGGGAGUCGUUCAUGGGAAGGUC
rnacentral:rRNA from 1 species